rnacentral:piRNA from 1 species
CACCUGUAUACCUGAGUCCUCUAGAAAA